AAUAAAAACAAAAAAAAAAAAAAAAAACCUUAGAGUUCAAAGGAAAAGGAUAAUUCUCAAUACACCACGUUUCCAAACUUACUCUCCAUAUAUCUAGAAUUCCUAUGAAUGGACAUAAUGUCUCGAAAAAUAGGCAAGAAGAUGGAGCUGUGCAACAAGAGCACUCACUACCUGACAAUGAGGACCCUGUUACUGAUGGGCAGGUGGAACACGGCACUAAAUGAGUGGACUCCAUCACAUGCAACUUUGAAGUCUGACCAAUAUCAACAUCAAGAUGUUAUUCAAAUACAAAGAAAACAUUCAGAGAUCUUCAAAUAUUAAAGAACACAGAGAUGACAAAAGACAUUACUGCAUCUUGCCAAUCAGCCAUUUAAGAGAUUAUCCAAACUAAAGAAUUGGAAGAUGAAAA